CAGUGCCUGACCUCACUAAUGCUCUUGUGGCUGAAUGGAAGCAAGUCCCCGCAGCAAUGUUCCAACAUCCAGUGGAAUGCCUUCCCAUUAGAGUGGAGGCUGUUAUAGCAGCAAAAGGGGGACCAAAUCCAUAUUAAUGGCCAUGAUUUUGGAAUGAGAUGUUCGACGAGCAGGUGUCCUCAUACUUUUGAUCAUGUAGUGUAUGUAAUAAACAUAAUUGUAUGUGGGGGAAGAUGCAGACAAGACGCAGACAAGACGCAGACAGACACAUUCCCUUGGGCCAAGGGAAACAGGAGUUAACCAUGCAGGACAGAUGGCCACCACCUGACCAAGGAGCCAUAGAAACAACACCCCGCCUCUGAGGUCAGAUAUGUCAUUCAACAUGGACACUGGAGAAAUCUACCACGAUCCACCUGAUAAGGAAGCUAAGGUGCAAGAAGGUCAGAGAGUAAAUGACAUCAUAUAACUUUUCCGGUGUAUAACUUCUCUAAAUGUAUGAUCCCAUUUGCCAAUUUUUUUUUAGUUUUUUUUUAAAAUAAUUGUUCAAAAAUGUAUAAAGACCAAAACAUUCAGUCCAGGUGCCCCUUUAUUGUAUUUUUUAUAAUUUUUUUAGCAAUUCUCAAUAAGUCUUUUAGGGGCUCUGACAGUCCUUUUUGGUCGUUCUGCUGAAGUGCUUCCUGAAACAGUUGGACAGUGUUCGUUGUCAGUCGGGGUGUUCUGACUGAAUUGUCCAUUUCUAAAGGCAUUUUACGCUUCAGCAGUAUCCUCCUGAUGAUCCUCAGUCCCUUGAGUGAAUGGCUGAAGCCUUAGAUCCACUCUGUUUCAUCUCAGUUGUGAUCCAUGCUCUGUUUGGAUCUCAUAGGAUCGCGAUGCAACUUCCCUCUGCACACACCCUUGUUGCAUCCAGGUUCCUGUAGUGAUGUCUCUGAGUCGUACAUGAUCUCCAGGUUUCAGUUCAGGUAAGUGUCUUGCACUUUUGUCGUGUCGCUGUUUUUGUUUGUCUUUCUGUUUUUCCUUCGAGUUUGACUUUGUGAGCACCUCUGGGUGUUAGCAAGUCCUCAUGGAUGGGUAGAUUGGUUCUGAUGCGAUGUCCCAUCAACAUUUGUGCAGGUGAAAGUCCGUUCUGCAGCGGUGUGCUGCAGCAGAUCAUAAGAUUUUUUAGGAAAUCCUCCUUUCCAUCAUGUGCCUUUUUCAUCAGACCUUUCACAAUUUUGACUGAACUCUCUGCUAAGCCGUUGGACCUUGGGUAGUUGGGGCUGGAGGUGUUGUGUCGGAAUCCCCAGUCGUUAGUGAACGAUCAGAAUUCGGAACUUGAGAACUCCGGGCCUUUGUCCGAGUACAUUUCAGACGCAACCCCAUGUCUUGCAAAGACUGAUUUCAGGUAGGAGAUUACAGCUUUGCUGGAGGUAGUUGGCAGUGUUGCUACUUCAGGGUAGUUUGAGUAGUAGUCGGUAACAACAAUGUGACUUUUGCCAUUGCAGUCAAAAAGGUCAACUCCAACUUUGUAGUCGGGUCUGUUGGGUACUGGAUGAGGCAUUAGCACGUCGUCCUUGUUCUUUGGGCACUCCAUGUUGUUGAUGGCUGAUGUUUUCCUCUGGUCUGGUUUGACUCCAUCCUCUGAAAGUACGUUUCCCACGAAGGUAAGUGUUUUCACACCAAACUCGCAUUUGUCCUUGUUUAGUUUUAGGUUGACUUUCCGUGUCAGGUCCAGCACUUGUCUCACUCUCGCAUCGUGUUCUUCUUUUGUGGACCCCCAGACAAUGAUGUCAUCCAUCAUGGUCUCCACUCCAGGAAUGUGCUCGAAGAUCAUGUGGAUUGUCUUGUGGUAGACCUCUGGCACUGAGAGAAUCCCAUAUGGUAGACGAAGAAAUCUGUACCUGCCCUCAGGUGUGUUGAAUGUGCAUAGCCUUGAGCUUGCAUCGUCUAGCUUCAUUUGCCAGAAUCCUGAUGAGGCAUCAAGCUUACUGAACCACUUUGCUCCAGCAAACUGCAACAUUAUCUCUUCUCUGGUUGGCAACUUGAAAUGCUCUCUUGAUUGCUUUGUUGAGGGGUCUAGACAUAUCCUGAGAUCGCUGUUCUUUUUCACCACAAUAACCAGUGAGCUUACCCAGUCUGUAGGUUCAUCCAGUUUUGUGAUGACAUCCAUCUUUUCCAUGCGUCCGAGUUCCUCCUUGAGCUUUUUCUUCAGUGCAAAUGGAACUUUUCUGCAUGCAUGCACAACUGGAGUACUUUUGUCAUCAGUACAUAUUUUGUGUUCUCCUGGUAAACAUCCAAGACCCUCAAACACGUCCUCAUACUCAGCCAGGAUCGAUUCUUGGUCAUUUUCAGUCUGUGAUGUCACUACAUACACUCUUUUCAACAAAUUGACCUUUUCACAUGCAUUGAUUCCUAGAAUAGGCUGUACACUCUUUUCCACAAUCAGCAGCUGUGCUCUGAACUGUUUUCCUUUGUGUUGUAAAGUUACUAUGCAGCUUCCUUUGACUGGUACGUUCUCCCCAGUAUAACCAGAAACCUUAAUUUCCAUCGGGUGUAUUUUGCUCUUCACGUUCAGUGUUUUGUAGUCAUCCAGCGCCAACAGGUUUACCUGUGCUCCAGUAUCAAGCUUGAAUGGUAUUAUAGUUUAAUUCAUAGUCAAUGGCACAAUCCAUUCAGCAUUUACUGCAUUGCAUAUUUCCACAGAAUCAACAAAGAAUUCUUCAAUCUCCUCCUUGACUGUGUGAACCUUUUUUCUUUGUAGCCUUAGCUUUGCAGAAUUUUGAGAAAUUAUUAUUUUUUCCCACAGUUGUUAUAUGAUUUGCCAUAUGCAGGGCAAUGUUUUGGCUUGUGGAUGAAUCCACAUUUUCCACAUGUAGUGUUUUGAUUUCUCUCUUUUGCUUGUUUUUGUUUUGUAAGGAGUUGUGUGUGGUGCUCCUGUCUUUUUAUUGCAUACACUGACGUCUCAUCCCUGCACAGCUAUUUAGCUUGUGCUCUGGUGGUUUCAGCUGCUCGACACAUAUUCACUGUUUUAUCCAAAGUUAAAUCUUGCUCACGCAGCAAUCUCUCCUUGAGUCCAUUAUCAAGUUUGCCACAGACUAUCCUGUCUUUCACUAGUGUGUCUUUCAGAUUUUCAAAUUCACACGUUUUGCUCAGUGUGUUCAGCUCAGCCAAAUACUGGUCAAAACUGACUCCCUGUUUCUGAUCAUGAGAGAAACUUGUAUCUCUCAAACAUGACCUUUCUGGCUUGGUACAAAGUACUCCUCAAAUGUAUCCAUUAGCACAGUCAAUGUCAAGUUUGCCUCGUCUUGCUGAAAGCUAUUGUAAAUGUCCAAUGCUUCCUCUCCAAUAACAUGCAGAAAAAUGGAAGCUUUCAAUUUGUCAUCAUCUCCCCCUGCACCACUGGCUGCUAGGUAGAUAUUGAAUGUCUGCUUGAAACGUUUCCAAUUGUCAGCUAGAUUGCCUGUUAACUGCAUAGGAGUAGGAGGACUAAGCCUAUCCAUGACGGAGAACAGGAACAGUGUCAAUUCCUCUUACUUCAGUAUGUUGCUCAUCAACUUGAUUGUCAACAGAUCCCAAUGCAGCCUUGCUCUCGCUGCUGUCACUCUCGCAGCUGUGGCUCGUUGCCCUCGCUCUUGCAAGCUAGCAUCUUCGACUACUCACGUCACUUGACUUGUGUUAGAAUGUUCAAUUUUCGUCACGGGAAUUUGCAAUUACUCCUUUCUUUUCUCUGUCUCGUCAUAGCGACUACCAAUCUAACACCAUGUUAUGUUUGUUCCUUGUAUAAUGACAAACCGGGGCGUAGGUUUAACUACUUUUAAUGAACAUAUUCUUCAGCUAGAAAACUCUUUGUUUAGCCAUGCAAGGCAUUCUUCAACCACCUUCCCCGCCCGCAUAGC
rnacentral:lncRNA from 1 species